AUUGAACGCUGGCGGCAUGCUUUACACAUGCAAGUCGAACGGUAACAGGCCGCAAGGUGCUGACGAGUGGCGAACGGGUGAGUAAUGCAUCGGAACGUGCACAGUCGUGGGGGAUAACGCAGCGAAAGCUGCGCUAAUACCGCAUACGAUCUCUGGAUGAAAGCGGGGGACCGAAAGGCCUCGCGCGAUUGGAGCGGCCGAUGUCAGAUUAGGUAGUUGGAGGGGUAAAGGCCCACCAAGCCAACGAUCUGUAGCUGGUCUGAGAGGACGACCAGCCACACUGGGACUGAGACACGGCCCAGACUCCGACGGGAGGGAGAAGUGGGGAAUUUUGGACAAUGGGCGCAAGCCUGAUCCAGCAAUGCCGCGUGCAGGAAGAAGGCCUUCGGGUUGUAAACUGCUUUUGUACGGAACGAAACGGUCCGGGUUAAUACCCUGGCUAAUGACGGUACCGUAAGAAUAAGCACCGGCUAACUACGUGCCAGCCGCCGCGGUAACAC
rnacentral:rRNA from 1 species